rnacentral:rRNA from 1 species
CCUACGGGAGGCAGCAGUAGGGAAUCUUUCACAAUGGGCGAAAGCCUGAUGGAGCAACGCCGCGUGCAGGAUGAAGGCCUUCGGGUUGUAAACUGCUUUUAUAAGCGAGAAAUAUGAUGGUAACUUAUGAAUAAGGAUCGGCUAACUACGUGCCAGCAGCCGCGGUCAUACGUAGGAUCCGAGCAUUAUCCGGAGUGACUGGGUGUAAAGAGUUGCGUAGGUGGCAUAAUAAGUAGCUAGGGAAAUCUGGUGGCUCAACCAUUCAGACUAUUAGCUAAACUGUUAAGCUCGAGAACGUUAGGGGUAACUGGAAUUUCUAGUGUAGGAGUGAAAUCCGUAGAUAUUAGAAGGAACACCAAUAGCGUAGGCAGGUUACUGGGACGGUUCUGACACUAAGGCACGAAAGCGUAGGGAGCAAACGGGAUUAGAUACCCUUGUAGUC